CUUGGUCAUUUAGAGGAAGUAAAAGUCGUAACAAGGUUUCCGUAGGUGGACCUGCGGAAGGAUCAUUACCGAGUAUAUGGGCUUAAUCUCCCUAACUCCCACCCUGUUUACCUUCUCAGUUGCUUUGGCGGCAGUUGGACUUACCUCUGUCUGCCGCCAGAGACAUUUUAUCAAAAUCUUUUAAACUUACCGUCUAAAACAAAAUUAUAAUAAGUCAAAACUUUCAACAACGGAUCUCUUGGUUCCCGCAUCGAUGAAGAACGCAGCGAAAUGCGAUAAGUAAUGUGAAUUGCAGAAUCUAGUGAAUCAUCGAAUCUUUGAACGCACAUUGCGCCCAUUGGUAUUCCGAUGGGCAUGCCUGUUCGAGCGUCGUUUCAAUUAUCCAAGGCCUGCUUUUGUAGGACUCGGGCAUUGUGGGGCUUGAAAUUGUCUCAACCCCAUGAAAUGACUGGGCCAGUGUUACUUUUUCUGGAAUAGACAGGAGUCUUGAAUAGGAUUGUAGCCUGCGCUUUUAGUAUGAAAAACCGAAGGUUUUCACGAACCUUUAUUUUUUGACCUCGAAUCAGACAGGAUUACCCGCUGAACUUAAGCAUAUCAAUAAGCGGAGGAAAAGAAACCAACAGGGAUUGCCUCAGUAACGGCGAGUGAAGCGGCAAUAGCUCAGAUUUGAAAUCUGUGUGCUUUUGUACACCGAGUUGUAAUCUGCAGGGGCGCUGAUCUGGUGCGACUCCGGCCUAAGUCUUCUGGAACGAAGCAGCAUAGAGGGUGAGACUCCCGUCUGUGGCCGAUUGUCAAUCCUUAUGUGACGUGCAUCCGACGAGUCGAGUUGUUUGGGAAUGCAGCUCUAAGUGGGUGGUAAAUUCCAUCUAAAGCUAAAUACCGGCGGGAGACCGAUAGCGCACAAGUAGAGUGAUCGAAAGAUGAAAAGCACUUUGGAAAGAGAGUUAAAAAGCACGUGAAAUUGUUGAAAGGGAAGCGCUCGUCGUCAGACUUGCCUAUGGUUGAUCAUCUGGGAUUCUUUCCCAGUGCACUCUGCCACUGUCAGGCCAGCAUCACUGGGUGGAGCAGGAUAAGACUGUGAGGAACGUGGCUCCUUCGGGAGUGUUAUAGCCUCGCUGUUGAUGCUGCUACCGCCUAGUGAGGACCGCGCUUCGGCUAGGAUGCUGGCGUAAUGGCGACGAGCGACCCGUCUUGAAACACGGACC
rnacentral:rRNA from 1 species